CCAGCGUGGGGCAGGAAUCAGUCAGAGAGUAGGGUGGCGGUGCGUCCGUGGGGACAUACAGCUGAGUGGCCCCUGGCCCCACACACUCCUCGUAGCUACAAGAGAAGAGGCUCCCUCAGUGCCCCACCUAGGCCUUAGGGCUGGGUCUCUCCCAAAGGCCUAGGUGUCUAUCUGCAGUGACAAGCUGUCCUGGCUGUGGACCAGGGUGGGCCUUGUCCACGCUGGCUCCAGUGAAACCCUACUACUUCCCUCCACCUCCAAGGGGGACCUCAGAACCCCUGGGACCUGGAUUCGGGACCUGACUCAGCCCUCAUGUGCGGUGUGAGCUCAACGCAUGAACACUGAGCUGCCCCGGGUCUCCGGUGCCUCGCAAGCCUCGCAGCAGCAGGGACUACUGUCUAGGGAGCACCUCCCUGCAGCGCACUGGGUGUGCGGGGGCUGGGUAGGACCAACCUCAGGCUACAAGACACCUUGGUCUCCAGCCACUCCAAAGUUCCCGUUCUCAGUUUAGGAAAGAGUGACCUGGGCCCCUCUGAACCUACAGAUGCAGAGCAAAAAAGCACCCACUGCCCUGGAAAGGACUGGCCGCACCACCCCUGCUCAAGCCCCUGGGGCAGAGGUGAAGGUGGAAGGGCAAGGGGGAGGACACGGGCCAUUCAUCCAGGACUGGAGGGGUCUCCUAGCACGGAAUGGUGGAGGCCCUGACCCCUUUCCCUCUUCGAGUACUGAUGGGUGAUCUGCCUGAGGGGGGCUGGCAGGAGGGGACCAAAGGCCCUCCAGAGAAGAGCUCCCCAUGGGGAGGGGGCUGCUCGAGGGCCCCGAGGGCCGUUUGGACACAGCCACUCCUGUGGGCAUGAUCACAGGCACAGGGCCCUCCUGGCCACAAGCUCCACCUGUCCCUUUCUCUUCCCACUGCCACUGUCUCUGGGGCCCCCAGGAGCUGAGGGCAUAACUCUCUCCUUCUAGCUCCAUGACCCCCCCACUUCUCUGAGAGGAACCCGUCUUGAUCUCUAAGGCCAGUCUCUGCCUCGGUGGCUGCAGAUGAGACCACAGAGGCCCCGGGCUCAGCCAGACCUUGUUGCCUGGGAGGUCUCGGCAGGUGUGUGUGUGUGUGUGUGUGUGUGUGUGUGGAGGGGGAAUCACCUCUGUCUUCCUAGUCUUGCCCCCACCUUCCCCACCCCUCCCCACCCCUGUCUCAUGCCUGCCCAGCCCUGUCCAGGCCCUGAACCCAACCAGCCUGGGGGGAGGUGCCUGACCACAGUGGAGGCCUGCAGCUGGGACACCCCCUCGUACCUGAGGCCAACCCAACGCUCUGCUCUGACUCAGGGAGAAGUCUGCUCCCAGGCACCCCCAGGGCAUCUGUGUGCCUCCACCUCCAUCAGAAGCAGCCCCACCGGUUCCUGUCCUUUUGAUGAGCCUCACUGGGCAGAGGCAGUCUCCUUGGGGUCCAGCUCCUGGUCUCUGGGACCCAGCUGGCCCUUCCCCACACAGGCUAGAGCCACUGACUCCUAGGGGUGGGGGGAGGUGCCUGUGUCCUCAGGCUAUGGCCUCAGGAGCCGAGGGCUCAGGUCUAACCCUGAGCCACAUCCCCAGAUACCCACAGUAUCUUCCUCUCCAGGAAAACCCAGGAAGCAGGGUUAUUUGUCCCUAUUUCAUAAAUGAAGAAAUGGAGCCCUUGAGAGCCACAGUGACAUGCCUGAGAGCAUCAACCUGGGCAGCGUCCAGGAUGGGCUCAAACCCAGGGAGACAGCCGGAGGAGCAGAUCCCCAGGGAGCUCAGGACAGCUGCCAUGGAACCUCCCCUGAAACUGCAAGGGCAUUCUUGGCACACCUAGUCAGCAGCCUGAGGAGCUGGGCUUGUCUCUUCCUUUCCUAGCACUUCCAGGGAACAGACCACCGGCCUGGGCCUCAGACCAGCAUGCAGGGACGUUCCUCAUGGGUCUAUGGGUCUACCUGGGGCCAUGGAGUCUCAGAUUCCCCACCUGACCACUCCUCUCCUCGCCAAUCGCAGCUACCUUCAUCCAUCAGUGACAGCUUCAGAAUUACAUCAAAGGCUCUGAAAAGUCCUGCAGCUAAGAAACACAUUUAACUGUGCUUGUCCAGCAUUCGACCUCAGAAUCUUCCUUUCUUAGACCUAGUAACACUGCUUAGGAAAUGCUGCUGGAGCAGAAUCCUCUCAUUCCACAGCUGAAGUUCCGGGAGGACCAGUGACUUGCUGGAGGACAACGUACAGGCACCAGCUGAGAGACAGAAUUUUUGGAAGAACUUAGGGAAGAAACUAAGGAAAGACAACAGCACACAGCAAAAAGGUGGAUCCUCCGGUACCAGUUUUACAGACAACUCGCCUGAGGCACAGAGAGUUUUGGCAACUUUCCUGAGGAUGCGCAUAGGAAGUAGGAAAUCAGGCCUCUGUGGACACCUGGAGCCUGAGGUGCCUGUGGGGCUUCGUGGGGUGAUGUCCAGGGGACUUCUGGGCAUGUCGUUCUGGAGCUGACCUGAGAGCUGGAGCCAGGUAAGGGAGGAUGAUGGAUGGUGGAUGAGGUGGAGCAGGGAGUGGGUGUAGAGAGAGGAGCAGGACCAAGGUGUGGGAUCUGAGGGACCUUCACCUAUAAAGGGACAGAGGAGAGGAAUCCAUAGCCAGAGGGGUGGGACAGAGGCCAAGAGGGCUUCAGUCACCAGAGCUGGGGGGCUGUGGGUGUGUCUGACAGGUGGAAGGGGCCCAGUGCCAAAGGUUGGGGCUUGCUGGUGCACUGCCCCUCCCUUUUUUAAUUUUUUUUUUU